GACCGCUCCGGUUCCUUAGUAGUUAGAACGUCCGCUUCGGAUGCGGGAGGUUGCGGGUUCGAUCCCCGGCCGAGUCA